rnacentral:rRNA from 1 species
GAAUGAACGCUGGCGGCGUGCUUUACACAUGCAAGUCGAGCGAGGCGGCCCGCAAGGGCCAGUCGAGCGGCGAACGGGUGAGUAACGCGUGGAUUAUCUGCCCUGAGGUGGGGGAUAACCCGGGAACUCGGGCUAAUACCGCAUAUGACCGUGAGGUCAAAGGGGGGUCGCAAGAUCUCUCGCCAUAGGAGGAGUCCGCGUACGAUUAGCUAGUUGGUAGGUAAUGGCCU